UGUACAAUCUGAUGGAAUAGUGUUCGAUUUUAUUAAUGACAAAAUAAAUUGGAUAGAAGACGAAAUGAAGCUUUAUUUAUGAUAUAAUUACAUUAAUUUAAGUUAUUCUGAGGACCCCUCUAUAAUUUUAACGAGUCGAUUGUUUCGUUAUCCUUUAUUGUGUUGUGACGUGUUACCAGAACAUACAAUUAAUAUUUUAAAAUGACGUUAAUCAUCCGGAAUAGCAAAACAAUGGCCAUUAUAAGUACAGCUUAUGCAAAAUUGUAGACAAUGGUUAUGAGCAUUACAUUUAAGUUAAUUGUUUUUCAUAACUUAAGAAGCAAUUUGAGUAAUUCUGUUUAACAAUAAGAAAAUUUGAAGAUAUUCUGUAUAGAAAAUUCGGUAUGAAACGUAUGCAGCUUGCAAUUCAUGUAUUAUUUUAGUGUACAUAAUUUUCUUUCAGGUCUAUUGUCCGAAUAUGAGGAAAUGUAAUUUUAAA